rnacentral:rRNA from 1 species
UUCCGUAGGUGAACCUGCGGAAGGAUCAUUACUGAGAGGUUUAAAAAACCACUAGUUGGGGUCUCUUCCCCUCUAGUAGUUCCCCACAGUUUUGUGCAAAGUCGGGUCAACUUGGUUGGCUCUGCCUUGUGCUGUAGAUCUGGUUGUUGGCAUAGAGACCCUCCUUUUAGGAGACUUGUGCCACUACUAAGAUCUAGGCUGCUUGAAAAGAGAAGAUGUAUGGACCCUUCUUUCAGGAGACCUACGUCUUUGAAGUCAAAGCAAGCAAGGCAAGCCUUUGGGGCUCUAGUAUUAACUAUCCCCAAAGGUGUUUAUUCUUCACGUGUAAACCAUGAUGUACGAAAAAGUUAGUUGUUAACUUAAAAACAACUCUUGGCAAUGGAUCUCUUGGUUCUCGCAUCGAUGAAGAGCGUAGCAAAGUGCGAUAAUUAUUGCGACUUGCAUUCAUAGCGAAUCAUCGAGUUCUCGAACGCAUCUUGCGCCUAGUAGUCAAUCUACUAGGCACAGUUGUUUCAGUAUCUGCAACUACCAAUCAGUUCAACUUGGUUCUUUGAACCUAAGCGAGCUGGAAAUGGGCUUGUGUUGAUGGCAUUCAGUUGCUGUCAUGGCCUUAAAUACAUUUAGUCCUAGGCAAUUGGCUUUAGUCAUUUGCCGGAUGUAGACUCUAGAGUGCCUGAAGAGCAACGACUUGGUUAGUGAGUUCAUAAUUCCAAGUCAAUCAGUCUCUUCUUGAACUAGGUCUUAAUCUUUACGGACUAGUGAGAGGAUCUAACUUGGGUCUUCUCUUGAACAAACUCACAUCUAGAUCUGAAAUCAACUGAGAUCACCCGCUGAACUUAAGCAUAUCAAUAAGCGGAGGA